AGCUGGAUAGAGAUCACUCAGAAAAGGGUUGUUCACAGAUAAACGUGGCGGUGUAAGGAAAUCCAGAUCUUGCGCAGUUUCAGUGGAAGCAGAUUGAGCUCGUGGAGCUGACUGAGGAGUGGGAGAUGGCGAUUUUGUAACUGACGAAACAGAAGCGAGAGAUGGCGCGACGGUUGCGAUUGAGGUAGAUGACUUUGAUAACUGUUUUGAUAUAGAAGGUACUUCAGUGGUACGAUUAGGGAGAUGGGAUUGCGUUUUCUUUUUGAAGGGUGAGGAAGAGGAGGAAAUAGAAGAGUAAGUUCGGCGGGCAGCUUCAAUAACGGCGGAGUUAUCGGGAGUUGGACGAUGACGCUCAACCUGAAACGAUGAUCGAGAUGCCUGCGCUGCUUCCGAUGAUAUGUAUGAUGGCGGGAGAGCAUGCUUAGGCUUAGAUGAAUUCAAAGAUCCCCAAGCCAAUAGAGCUGCUCGAUUGGCAUUGUUCUGGGUAGAGACUUCAGCUGGAAGUCCAGUCCUAGCAAGCGAUUUACUUGGAGGAAGCACUGAUUUACUCUUGACACUGGCCUUUUUAGCAGAUUUAACAGCGCUAUGUGUUUCUAGUUCACCAGCGCCUUUACGCAACGAAGUCCGCGAAGCUGUAGGUGAAGAGGACAUAGAUGUUCGCGGAAUAUUAGGUUUUAAGGAUGCCGUUGUCACUUUAGAUUGUAAAGGAGCUGUUCUAUUUUGACGCUCAAAAGAAGACGCACUAUAGUUACCAUCAUCGAUAAAUGAGCGAUCGCCAGGACCAUUUCCACUUAUAUAAGCAACAUUAGCGCUACCAGUAGAAGAUUGUGUUACAAGUGACUUUUGUGUAUUUUGAAUAUCCUUAUAAGCAGCUUCUUGUUGCGCAAUCUCUUUGGUAAGGAACUCAAUUCGAAUGGUCAACUGCUCCAACAUGCAGAGUAAUGUUUCCACAUAAUGUCUAUCUUCAUAAUCCAUCACGUGUAAGCGUUCCCUCGCAUACUUAAACUCUGGAUUCAUGAGAAUGUUCCGCUUGGCCUUUUGAAAUAAAGCGAUAGCCUCCACAUAGUCAGCAGUCUGCUCUUUAUGAAUUGCAACGGCGGCAUAUGACUGUGUGACGUUAUAGCAGUCUUCAAGGCUCAUUUUUGUGCAUUCUUUAACGUCUACAACUGAUUAAAAACAAUUACCUUUCAAUGGAAAGAGGUUAAAUCGGCUCGAUUGGAAACGUUAUUCUCUUUCUAUAUUGGCUGAAGUGCACAAACUACACUUCUCCUUUUAUAUCCUAUUACCUUAUUAAAUAUUGUUUUCGUACAAGCAGAAUGCGGCAUGCAAAUACAAAUCGUAGAUAUAGUGAUACAAAGUUAAAGAUAAAAUUUCUCACUAAAACCACGAUUUUGUCGGAAAACUUGAUAAAGUCUACAAAAAUAAAUACAAAACUAGCAACAGCACUAAUUAUAUGCGUGAAUAGAAGUUCUAUGAUAUACGCACUGUGCUUGUUGAGUUUUAAAUCUUUACGGUUGGUUUUGGUGUAGCGAAGAAUAAUGAUGGGUAAAUGACGCAUCUUCAUCAUUUACACAAAA